rnacentral:misc_RNA from 1 species
UUUUAUUUAUUUAUUUAUUUUUUGCCUUCUCACAGAAGUUACAAGUACAAAUUAUCUACACUCAACAAUACAACUUGAACCUAAGACCUAAUCCAAUACCAACUAAUGGUAACAAAAAUUGAUGAAGGGGAAACAACAAUGCCUUGAUGUAAAAACCAACAGCAUGAAUCAUAAAGAAGUACAACAAUUAGAUAAGAGCACUAUUAUUGUGACUGCCAUGUUAGGAAAUAAAUCAAAGAUCUUUGCUUAAGAUGAAAAAGUUAUACCAAUAUUAACCCAUACCUCCUGAUAUUAUUUAAACACAUAUCCAAAGUUUGCACCGUAACAUUAAACAACCAAAUACAAUGUAUAAACAACUCAAUUGCAUCUCACUUGUUCUUUAUAACAUCAGAAAUUCUUAAUUAUAUUUGGACAAUAUAGGGUAUCUUCAUAUAGUCAUGUUUAGUAAACAUAUUGACAAUGUUUUUUCUAAAUACAUGCAUAUUGGAUGAUAAGAUCAAAAUUACAUCAUGGCAUAUAAUGCAGAUCUCUUGACACGCCACUCCCUGCUUCCUUCAUGUCAAUUUCCAUGCAUGUGUAGAUUUUUCACACCCAAAAAGGUAGUAGAAGAAAUAAAUGUAAAGUGCCCAAAAUAUUGCCCUUUCUCAAGUUACUAGCAAAUAUGGAUAAAUAAUGAACACCAGCAGUACAUAUAAGAAAGAGAAAAAAACCCAUAUAUCCCACAAAAACUGAAAACAAUAUUGCAAGAAACCACCAAUACAAUAACAAUAUGCAGUCUGUGCAUCAGGUAACUCACCUUUUAUCCUUCAAAAGAGCAAUAAUACCAGCUGCUUCAGCAGGUGACACGUGUGAAGGAGACUGUGGCCGAUCUGUAUGUUGUUGCAAACCAUAGCUACCAGAAGAGCUGCUACUUGGUGUUACAGGGCGGGAGGAAUUAGAGCUCA